CAGCAGCCGCGGUAAUACGUAGGGUGCAAGCGUUAAUCGGAAUUACUGGGCGUAAAGCGUGCGCAGGCGGUUUGUUAAGACAGAUGUGAAAUCCCCGGGCUUAACCUGGGAACUGCAUUUGUGACUGGCAAGCUAGAGUAUGGCAGAGGGGGGUGGAAUUCCGCGUGUAGCAGUGAAAUGCGUAGAUAUGCGGAGGAACACCGAUGGCGAAGGCAAUCCCCUGGGCCUGUACUGACGCUCAUGCACGAAAGCGUGGGGAGCAAACAGGAUUAGAUACCCCGGUAGUCCCUGUCUCUUAUAC
rnacentral:rRNA from 1 species